UACGAAGGGGGCUAGCGUUGCUCGGAAUGACUGGGCGUAAAGGGCGCGUAGGCGGUUCAUACAGUCAGAUGUGAAAUUCCUGGGCUCAACCUGGGGGCUGCAUUUGAUACGUGUGGACUAGAGUGGGGAAGAGGGUCGUGGAAUUCCCAGUGUAGAGGUGAAAUUCGUAGAUAUUGGGAAGAACACCGGUGGCGAAGGCGGCGACCUGGUCCUUGACUGACGCUGAGGCGACGAAAGCGUGGGGGAGCAAACAGG
rnacentral:rRNA from 1 species